rnacentral:lncRNA from 1 species
UCCACUCUUCUUCUCCACUAAAAAGGGAUACUCCACUAAAGAAUUUCACUCUGAGAUACUCAGUUUAUGGUGAACUGAAAACCUUACAUAGAUUCACUAAGAAUCUAGAUCACUAAGAUCUUAAGAUACUAAGGCUUAGCUAGAGAAGAGAACAGAAUAAGUGUUUGUAGUUGAGUAUCCUCAGAAAAGGAUGGACAUGUUGCUAUUUUGUAGCUCUGUUUCUUGAAUAAUCUUGAGCCUUGUUGAUCAAAUGAAAUCUCUUAAUUUCUUAUUUACUUUGAAACUAGAAGCCCGUUUGAUCAUGUAAAAAGAGAGAGUUUCAGCACUUGAGUAAUGGUUCAAUUGGGUAACAUUUACAAAUGUGCGGUUGAAACCAUUUUAUACACUCAGCUUUAGUUCAUAUGACUUGUCCUUUCUUCUGAAAAGGAUUUGAACUAUCCUUUUACCCUGUGAAUAAUAGUGAUUCUAAGAGUUGGUAGCCAUUGUAUCUUGUGUGAUGUCAAAUGUGUCGAUGCUUAUUGAGCUGCUGAACUCGACUGUUCAUUUGUUCCUCUGCUCAAUUUUUCUGAAAGCUUACUCAACUGUUGUAUAUAUAAGCCUUCAACCUUGCUCUGUUGGUUAACUGAUGACCAACUCUUCUGGUUUGACUCUAAGGUUCACUCUUAUGUAGUCUGUACCCGAACGUUGUCACGCUGCGUCCUAUUCAUCGGAUAGAUGAACUGAAGUACUGAGAGCUUCACACCUCGCUUUCUUUUGAGGAUAGCUGAACAGAAGUAUUGAGAGAUUCACUUUGUGGUCCGUUCACUCUGCAAAUUGUUUAACAACUUCACUCGGUGAAUUUCUUGACACCAUUAUUCUACGAAUCACUCUGCUACUCUGUGAAGUACUUAACAAGUUGACUCUAUGGAUUAUUGACUUGCUUAUCUAAUUCUUCUGUCUGCUAAACUGUUCAGCCGGAACUUAUGAACUCUGCUGACAACUUGUCCCCUCUGUCGUCACCAGAAACCAAUCAAAUAUUAUAAAGAAAACUUUUCAUCCUAUACAUUAGGACUAGUCACUCUACAGAUCCACCUAUACAUUUCACUCUACAAAUCAGCUAAAACAACUCACUUACAAGUUACAACUUGGAAUGGCACGCUUUAAUAGAAUUGAGGUCUUACAUCAGUUAAUAAUCUAUAAGCUUACAUCACCGAAUCAAAUACAAAUAUGAAUUAACAAAGACCACACCAAAGACCGCAUGAAAUAUUUUCCAAAUAAAUGCCACUUAAAAGGAAUUUCAACACACUAAAUGCUCUUCAUAGGAAAAACUAAGCAUACCAUCGCCAUCCAACAGUUCAUAAAACAAUCAGAUCCCGAAAUUGACACUCUUGUCAACUUUCGUACCUGACACUCCUACUAAUUCAGCUCAUAAAACAAUCCCAAAAUUUUCACUUUUGCCAACGUUCAAUGAGUCAUACACUCCUAUUGUUUGGAAGUAAUAGAUCUAAGCACCCAUCUCACAUGCUUGACUGCAUUUAUGAAUGUUGUUCCACUCAACAUUGAUUAAUCAGCUCUUGAAGUCGUCACUCCACUUGCCAAUGACUAUUAGUUUGGUAGUUGUCAACUUGUCGCGACUGCAACUGCCUUUGCUAGCCAAAAUGCUCCCAGCACCUAUCUAAGAUUCUCAAUCCAUGCUAUGACGGCUUAGUAUUUAUCAGACCAUUGUUCAAAGUAGAUUGAGCUCAAUCGAAGCAUGGGCAGGUCUCGAAUCAAUGCUAAAAAAAUUGACAUGCCUGAACAUCAAGUGCCAACAUUGAUGGGAUCAAAUAUAAGUGCAAGCCUUCCAUAUGAAAUCCAUCAUACUAGUGUGCAAUGCCAUAUGUAGGGCCCACCAUCAAGAAAGAUUAGACACUUCAAGAAACUUAACCAACAUUCCAUUGGUAUGUUUAAUAACUGGUAACAUAGGACAAUGAUGUGCGUCUCAAAAACAGUGCCCUCAGGUCCAAACAAAUAUGCUACAACGUAGUCAUUGAUUUAAUCAAUGUAACUCUCUAAAUAACAAGCCAAAAGUAUCAAGCGUCAGCGUAUUGUCCAACUAGAAAGGACGAUCAUGUAUAUGAAGUAUCUCAUCAUAGCUUCAUAAUAAGCUCAAAGUUGGUCACAGUGGAAAAGGUGCACAAUGCCAGUUCCCUAGUUUCGAAGAAGAUUGACCAGUUUUAAGAACUCAUGCAACAGAAACUGGGUGAUUUUAACAAGGGGUUGCACAAGAUGAUCCCAUGUGUCUCAAAGACCAUCUCAUGUUGUCAACGAGAACGCAUCCAUCUACACAUGUAAAAGACCAAAAAAGAAAAACAAUCAACCAACAAUAACAUGUAUUGUGAUAUACUAGAUGCCUAAAUUUAUGGAAGAGACUUGCAUAUUUAUCAAAUAUUAAGGUUGUCAAACCAUUUAUUACCAUUUCAUUAAAUCAUCAGCCACAAAGUGUGGCAUCAAUAAAUACACCUGAUAGAUCUCAAUAUCUAGUCUACAAAUUUAAGACAUAAAAAGGCACAUUAGGAUUUAGGACAUCCAAAAUUACAGUCUUCCUUUUGUUAUAACAUCAAGGAACUUGUCAGUAUUCCUAUGAAGAAUUCUAUUAUCCGCCAAAAUCUCCAACACUAACAUAGUGCAAAAGUUCCUAUAUCGUCCAUUAGUGUCUUAAUAGUGAAAGUUCAGCCAUAGAAUUCCAAAAGAAGUGACUCAAUCAUAGAGAGACAUACUUAGGAUUCCGACGUAAUUUAUACUGUUCAUCAUUUCAAAAAAUGUUCACUUCAAAGUCUGUAAUCAUCAUAAAUCUAUCUCCAGCAAUGAAGGCAUGCAUAGCUGAUCCCCAAAAAGAUCUUAUCCCAAGUGAAUUGAUCCCUUAUUUGGGACCCUCUUAUUUGUGAGGAGUUGACGGGGAACAUUGAAUAGUUUCAAACCUUUAAACACUUCUUCAAUAAGUGACAUAAUGCACCCACGCCGCGACAAAGAGUACGUGUUACUGCUCUACCUUACAGCUACUGAUCAUUUAAAAAUUCAACCCUCAGUUACAACAUCUUCCAUGUAGUGCACUAUCUAUUCGUUGGAGCAUAAACAUGUACCAAUUAGCAUAUACAUCCGUACAAAGAAACAUAACACAUUUAUUCACAAGGACCAAAAUCUCCAUUAUUCCCCUCAGUUAACUUUCUCAAACUACUUUUAUUACCAAAAAAACUAGAUAUCACAAACACCUUCCAAAUAGACUUUUAUAUGGAGAUAUAAUAACCAUUCCACACAAUCAAAUCCUACAGAGGCAGAUUUCACCACCACGAACUAGAAGCAGUCAACCAAUCAAUUCAAGCUAACCUUAUCCAACUAUCCAAUUCAACAACCAUUAAUACAAAACUUACCGAUCAACCUUGAUUAUCAUAGAAAAACAAAAAACCGCCAAAAGUUCAAAUUUUCGAAUCUUUAACAACAAUGCUCAUUCAUUUCAAAUUAACCCUAAUUUCUUUUCUUCUUUUUUCUCGGUUAGGAAAACUGAAUUUUAUAACCAAAAAAAGAACUAGACAUCACAAACACCUUCCAAAUAGACUUUUUUAUAUACAGAUAUAGUUAUUAUUCCACACAAGUGAAUCCUACCACUGCAGUCAAUCAAUUCAAGUUAACCUUAUCCAACUACCCACCGAUCAACCUAGCUUAGAUACAUACAAAAACAAGAAACAAUGAAAAUUCAAAUUUUUGAAUCUUUAACAACAAUGCUCGUACAUUUCAAGUUAAGCUUAUCCAAUCACCCAAAUCAAAAUACAAACCUUCCACAACUAGCAUAUCAUAGAAGAACAAAAAUAACCAAAAUUCAAUCGUUAAAAUCUUUAACAACAAUUCUCGUUCAUUUCUACCUUUUUCAUACCUUUUCCCGGAGAAACAAACACUUAAAUCAAACUAAUAGGAAAUCAUAAGAAUUAUACGGAACGAUAAGAAUAAAAAACCUAAUUUCGAGCGCUGGAAAAUUACCUCAGAGCAAAGCGAAGUGAGAGAAUUGCAUAGAAGCUCUGUAAUCAGCCGAAAGUGUACGGUCGGAAUCAAGUUUUCCGGCACCGGCAGGAAGAAUUUUGUCUGGCAAUUCAAUUGUGCAGUGGUGGAGUAUUUGGAAUGUGAAUUGUUAGAACUGGAG